UCAUGUGGAUGUUGUUCCCACAU
rnacentral:snRNA from 1 species